rnacentral:rRNA from 1 species
GCAAAAGAGGGUAAAUCGGCCACUUUAAGAUUACCAUCUCAGGAGGUCCGUUUAGUAUCCCAGAACUGCUUAGCAACAGUCGGACAAGUGGGUAAUGUUGGGGUGAACCAAAAAGUUUGGGGUAGUUUUUCAUUUUUCUUUAUAGUUUAA